rnacentral:rRNA from 1 species
AACGAACGCUGGCGGCAUGCCUAACACAUGCAAGUCGAACGAGACCUUCGGGUCUAGUGGCGCACGGGUGUGUAACGCGGGGGAACCUGCCCUUAGGUUCGGAAUAACUCCCCGAAAGGGGUGCUAAUACCGGAUAAUGUCCUCGGACCAAAGAUUUAUCGCCUUUGGAUGGGCCCGCGUUGGAUUAGCUAGUUGGUAGGGUAAAAGCCUACCAAGGCGACGAUCCAUAGCUGGUCUGAGAGGAUGAUCAGCCACACUGGGACUGAGACACGGCCCAGACUCCUGCGGGAGGCAGCAGUGGUGAAUAUUGGACAAUGGGCGAAAGCCUGAUCCAGCAAUGCCGCGUGAGUGAUGAAGGGCUUAGGGUUGUAAAGCUCUUUUACCCGGGAUGAUAAUAACGGUACCGGGGGAAUAAGCUCCGGCUAACUCCGU